AUGAUUUCUCAAAAUAAUUUGCUAUGUGUAUUUUUUCUGUGCUUGCAAGGCUCUUGUGCACAGAUUGUGAUGACCCAAUCAACAGAUUCUGUAACAGUGUCACCAGGAGAAAGUGUCACCAUCACUUGUAAAGCCAGUUCUAGCCUUAUUUAUAACUCUCAGAGCUGGUUAGCCUGGUAUCAACAGAAACCAGGAAAACCUCUAAUGCUUCUUAUAUAUUAUGCAAGUGCCAAAGCCACAGGGAUCCCAGACAGAUUCAGCAGCAGUCGGUCUGGUACUGAUUUCACUCUCACGAUCAGCGGAGCGCAAGCAGAAGACGCAGCAGAUUAUUACUGUCAGCAGGGAAGGAGCUUGCCUCUCACAGUAUUCCCUAUCAUUCAGGCUCGAAGCCGGGAUAAGAAGAUUACUGGCCGAGUUCGGUCUGAUAGUGGAAUAUCCCAAGAGCAUUGCAUUAUACUUGGGCCAUGGAGCCAAAUGAGGUAG